CCAUUUCUUGGGCUGCUCCCGCAGCAUAUGGAGGUUCCCAGGCUAGGGGUCAAAGCGGAGCUGUAGCCACCAGCCUACGCCAGAGCCACAGCAACACAGGAUCCAAGCCUCGUCCGCCAGAUCCUUAACCCACUGAGCAAGGCCAGGGGUAGAACCCGCAACCUCGUGGUUCCUAGUCAGAUUCGUUAACCACUGAGCCAUGAUGGGAACUCCCAAAAUCUCAAUCUUCUUGAACAGUUCUAGAUCAUAGAAAAAGGACAGCUUUAAGAUUAUUGUUAUAAAACUAUAAUACGAAAAACUAUGAUACUAAAAACCAUCAUGAUCACAUAAAGAAUUAUAAAGUACACACACUUAUGACUAUAGAGGCAAAACUCUAAAUAAAAUAUUAGCAGAUACAUUCCAUCAGGAAUUCAAUUCGAUCCACUAUAAAAAAAUCUUAUAACUCAUAGUAGUUGACUGAAAGAGAAAUAUCUUGUUAUUGUCUCCAUAAAUGCUGAAAAAUAACUUAAUAAAUUCCACAUCCAGUCUUAAUAAAAAAUGAAAGUUCAGAUUUUAAAAUAGGGAUAAAUGGAUUCUUCCUAAACAUGGUAACGUUGGUCAGGACACUGAUCAAAAGGAAAAUGUUUAAAAAUAUUUAUUUAGGAAUAAGACAAAGACCCUUCACUAUCACUAAUAGUACAUGACAACAGAAUGAACAAAAAAAAAUAUGUAAUCAGCAUAAAUACUGGGCAGGAAACAGAAAAAAAUGAUCACUUUUUAGAUAAUAUAUACAUGUAGAAAAUUCCAGAGAUUCACCUAAGAAAACUAUUCUAACUAAUAAGACAAGUUGGUGUAGUCACAGGGGAAAAAUUAAUGUACAUAAAUUAAUUGCCUGCAUGUACAUAAACAACCACCAGUUACAAGAUAUAAAAUAGAGUAAAAUACCCCAUAUUUAAUAAUAGCAUAACAAUAACACCUGAGAGAAUAAUUAAUGAAGAAAAUACAAAAUCUUUAUGAGAGUACUUCAUCAUAUAAAAGAUAAAAAUAAGGAAAACAAAACAAAUGGAAAGAAGGAUUCAAGAAAAGUUAAAUCAUGUACUUGUAAAACAAACAAAUUAGUGAAUAUAAUAUAAAAGAAACAGACUUGUAACAGAGAAAAACAAAUGACUCCCUUUUGAAUUUAUUCUUUUAGCUCUAACCUUUGUGCUCUGUUGUUUGUGUUGUCAUGCUGACUUACACCUCUGUAAAGAAAUAAAUGUUUCCUAUAUCCUGUAAUAUACAGGGGAGCCCAUUCUCAAGCCUCAGAUCUUUAAAGGUGUAACACCUUCCCAUUCAUAUAGAGGUAAAAAGUUGCAGAACAGGAAAAAUAACAAUUGUCUUGGAAGUUUACAGGAAAUGUGUGACUAGACCCAUGUGGACAGCUGCAAGAACAAAGGACAAAGGAUUCCAGUUCCAAGAAGUUUGCAAUAAUAAGCCACACCCCCUCCUCUUUUACUGUAAAAGAAGCCUGAAUUCCAACUUAAGUAAGAUGGUGCUUUAGGACAAUAGUCCACCAUCUUUUUGGUCUUCUUGUUUUCCAAAUAAAGUUGCUAUUCCUUGCCCCAUUACCUCAUCUCUUGAUUUACUGGCCUGUUGUGCCGCUCCUGGGUGGUAUAAGCUUGGGUAACAGAUCCACAGAUAGAGAACAAACAAGUAGUUACCUUUGGGGGGGAAGGAAGUGAGGAGGGGCAAAGUAGGGGAUUAAGAGGUAAAAACUAGUAUGUAUAUAAUAGUCUAUAAGGAUAUACUGUACAACACAGGCCAUAUGACCAGUAUUUUAUAAUAACUAAAUGGAAUGUAGCCUUAAAAAUUGUGAAUCACUAUGUUGUACACCUAAAACUUAUUUAAUAUUGUACAGUGACUAUACCCAAUUUAAAAAAAUCAUAAGCUUGUGUCAGAAGAUCUCUCAUCACGUAUAUGAAGCCUCCCUAAAUUAAUAAUUCAACACCAUCUCAAUAACAAAUGGCACCAUGAUUCUUUUGGAAAGUGAACACAGUGUUUACGAUGUGCCUUUAAAAAUAAAAAAGUAAGACUAGCCAAAUGCUGAAAUGUAUUAUGACCCUACCAGGUAUCAAAACACACUAUAAAGAUGCUAUAAUUAACACAGUGCAGUGAUGUAGGAUGGCAAUGCAGGCACAGACAGAACAAUGGAAGAGGACUAACAGUCCAGAUGUAGAUACAGAGGUACAAGGUAGUGUAGGAGAUGCUGAAAGUGGCCUCUUAAAUCAGUGAACUAUUCAACAAAUGGUAUUUGAAAAACUAAAUGGCCGUCUAGAAAAAAAUAUGAACUCUUAUUUCUAUUUCAUAUGGAUCACAAAAAUAAAUGCCAGGCUGAUGACAGAUUUAAGUGAAUAAAAUAUCAAGUCAUAAAAACAGGAGAAACAAAUGGGAGAAUUUUUUAAAUGUCAGAGUGGAGUACUUUUUUUUUUUUUUUUCUGUCUUUUUUCUUUUUAGGGCCGUAUCCUCAACAUAUGGAGGCUCCCAGGAUAGGGGUCGAAUUGGAGCUGUAGCUGCCGGCCUACAUCAUGGCCACAGCAACGCGCAAUCUUUAACCCACUGAGCAAGGUGGGGGAUUGAACCCACAACCUCAUGGUUCCUAGUCAGAUUCAUUCUGACGGGAGCUCCCAAGAGUGGAGUACUUUAAAUUCAACCUUUAGAUCAAAUUGUAUCAGCAGAUGUCAUGUUCCAUACUUAGAGCAAGUCGCUUAGUCCUGCCAGAGUCCAUAUUAAUGUAGCUGUAAAAUGUUGUUAUGGAGACUGUCUACUGCAACCCUUGCUGGAUCCCCUCAUGUGACAUGUCCUUCUAGGCUUUUCCUUCUAAG
rnacentral:lncRNA from 1 species